rnacentral:lncRNA from 1 species
GAUAUAUAAUUAUGAACACAUUUUAUUCUUAUUUCCCCCUUCAUUAAUAAACCUUAAAUUUAUUAGUCAAUUAUAUGCAAAUUGGCAGUUUACAAAAGGCAAAAAUGGGACAACAGCAGUGGAGCAGUGCUCAAGAAUUAAUAAACCUUAAAUUUAUUAGUCAAUUAUAUGCAAAUUGGCAGUUUACAAAAGGCAAAAAUGGGACAACAGCAGUGGAGCAGUGCUCAAGAAUCCUUGCUGAGUCUAGAGAAGAGCAAUGCUGCUUCUGUUGAUGAAAUAAUAAGGUUGGAAACCUCUUGAAAUAAAUAGUAUAUGUUCUUUGGGGAUCACAUAUAUAUCCACAUUUUUAUUAAAUGUUCGUCUUUUAGGGGAGGAAUGGAUGCCAAUCAAAUAUUGCGUUCUCGAUUUGAUUGAAGAAUUGUGGUAGCUUUAGAUGGUUAAUUGUAAAGAUAAUGAAUGAUUAUGUAGUGGAUGAUUUUAUUAAGUUAAUAAUAUUUUAGUUUUUUGUAUUUUUG